AAUCAACGCUGGCGGCGUGCCUCAGACAUGCAAGUCGAACGAUUAAAGCUCUCUUCGGAGAGUGUAUAGAGUGGCGCACGGGUGAGUAACACGUAAGUAAUCUACCUUUGAGUGGGGAAUAACAAUCGGAACGAUUGCUAAUACCGCAUAAUGCAGCGGCAUCGCAAGAUGACAGUUGUUAAAGGAGCAAUCCGCUUAAAGAGGAGCUUGCGGCAGAUUAGCUAGUUGGUAAGGUAAUGGCUUACCAAGGCUACGAUCUGUAACCGGUCUAAGAGGACGGUCGGUCACACUGACACUGAAUAACGGGUCAGACUCCUACGGAGGCAGCAGUCGGGAAUUUUGGGUCGAAUAGGGCGAAAGACCUGACCCAGCAACGCCGCGUGAAGGAUGAAGUAUUUCGGUAUGUAAACUUCGAAAGAAUGGGAAGAAUCAAUGACGGUACCAUUUAUAAGGU
rnacentral:rRNA from 1 species